rnacentral:rRNA from 1 species
CGCUAAGUUUGAUGGCGACCGGCGCACGGGUGAGUAACACGUAUCCAACCUGCCUCAUACUCGGGGAUAGCCUUUCGAAAGAAAGAUUAAUAUCCGAUAGCAUAUAUUUCCCGCAUGGGUUUUAUAUUAAAGAAAUUCGGUAUGAGAUGGGGAUGCGUUCCAUUAGUUUGUUGGGGGGGUAACGGCCCACCAAGACUACGAUGGAUAGGGGUUCUGAGAGGAAGGUCCCCCACAUUGGAACUGAGACACGGUCCAAAUUCCUACGGGAGGCAGCAUG